UACGAAGGGUGCAAGCGUUACUCGGAAUUACUGGGCGUAAAGGGUGCGUAGGUGGUCGUUUAAGUCCGUUGUGAAAUCCCUGGGCUCAACCUGGGAAUGGCAGUGGAUACUGGACGGCUAGAAUGCGGUAGAGGGUAGUGGAAUUCCCGGUGUAGCAGUGAAAUGCGUAGAGAUCGGGAGGAACACCAAUGGCGAAGGCAGCUCGCUGGGACGGUACUGACGCUGAGGCGCGAAAGCGUGGGGAGCAAACAGG
rnacentral:rRNA from 1 species